CACCAGGCCCGGACACUGGAAGGAUUGACAGAUUGAGAGCUCUUUCUUGAUUCGGUGGGUGGUGGUGCAUGGCCGUUCUUAGUUGGUGGAGCGAUUUGUCUGGUUAAUUCCGAUAACGAACGAGACUCUAGCCUGCUAAAUAGGUGGCGGGUCCUACCCGUCCGUCACUCUUCUUAGAGGGACAAGCGGCGUCCAGCCGCAUGACAGUGAGCAAUAACAGGUCUGUGAUGCCCUUAGAUGUCCUGGGCCGCACGCGCGCUACACUGAAGGAAUCAGCGUGUCCUCCCUGUCCGAAAGGACCGGGUAACCGCUG
rnacentral:rRNA from 1 species